rnacentral:rRNA from 1 species
CGUGGCUGGCACACAUGCAGUCGAACGGUAGCACAGAGGAGCUUGCUCCUCGGGUGACGAGUGGCGGACGGGUGAGUAAUGUCUUGGGAAACUGCCCGAUGGAGGGGGAUAACUACUGGAAACGGUAGCUAAUACCGCAUAACGUCGCAAGACCAAAGAGGGGGACCUUCGGGCCUCUUGCCAUCGGAUGUGCCCAGAUGGGAUUAGCUUGUUGGUGAGGUAAUGGCUCACCAAGGCGACGAUCCCUAGCUGGUCUGAGAGGAUGACCAGCCACACUGGAACUGAGACACGGUCCAGACUCCUACGGGAGGCAGCAGUGGGGAAUAUUGCACAAUGGGCGCAAGCCUGAUGCAGCCAUGCCGCGUGUGUGAAGAAGGCCUUCGGGUUGUAAAGCACUUUCAGCGGGGAGGAAGGCAAUACGGUUAAUAACCGUGUUGAUUGACGUUACCCGCAGAAGAAGCACCGGCUAACUCCGUGCCAGCAGCCGCGGUAAUACGGAGGGUGCAAGCGUUAAUCGGAAUUACUGGGCGUAAAGCGCACGCAGGCGGUCUGUCAAGUCGGAUGUGAAAUCCCCGGGCUCAACCUGGGAACUGCAUUCGAAACUGGCAGGCUUGAGUCUUGUAGAGGGGGGUAGAAUUCCAGGUGUAGCGGGUGAAAAUGCGUAGAGAUCUGGAGGAAUACCGGGUGGCGAAAGGCGGGC